AUUGAACGCUGGCGGCAGGCCUAACACAUGCAAGUCGAGCGGAUGAAGGGAGCUUGCUCCUGGAUUCAGCGGCGGACGGGUGAGUAAUGCCUAGGAAUCUGCCUGGUAGUGGGGGAUAACGUCCGGAAACGGGCGCUAAUACCGCAUACGUCCUGAGGGAGAAAGUGGGGGAUCUUCGGACCUCACGCUAUCAGAUGAGCCUAGGUCGGAUUAGCUAGUUGGUGGGGUAAAGGCCUACCAAGGCGACGAUCCGUAACUGGUCUGAGAGGAUGAUCAGUCACACUGGAACUGGGACAGGGUCCAGACUCCUACGGGAGGCAGCAGUGGGGAAUAUUGGACAAUGGGCGAAAGCCUGAUACAGCCAUGCCGCGUGUGUGAAGAAGGUCUUCGGAUUGUAAAGCACUUUAAGUUGGGAGGAAGGGCAGUAAGUUAAUACCUUGCUGUUUUGACGUUACCAACAGAAUAAGCACCGGCUAACUUCGUG
rnacentral:rRNA from 1 species